AGUGAACGCUGGCGGUAGGCCUAACACGUGCAAGUCGAACGGCAGCACAGUAAGAGCUUGCUCUUACGGGUGGCGAGUGGCGGACGGGUGAGGAAUACAUCGGAAUCUACUUUUUCGUGGGGGAUAACGUAGGGAAACUUACGCUAAUACCGCAUACGACCUACGGGUGAAAGCAGGGAAUCUUCGGACCUUGCGCGAUUGAAUGAGCCGAUGUCGGAUUAGCUAGUUGGCGGGGUAAAGGCCCACCAAGGCGACGAUCCGUAGCUGGUCUGAGAGGAUGAUCAGCCACACUGGAACUGAGACACGGUCCAGACUCCUACGGGAGGCAGCAGUGGGGAAUAUUGGACAAUGGGCGCAAGCCUGAUCCAGCCAUACCGCGUGGGUGAAGAAGGCCUUCGGGUUGUAAAGCCCUUUUGUUGGGAAAGAAAAGCAGCAGGUUAAUACCCCGCUGUUCUGACGGUACCCAAAGAAUAAGCACCGCCUAACUUCGUG
rnacentral:rRNA from 1 species